CUCUGGAUCGUGAACGGUAACAAAAAACAACAAUGGUGCCAAUUGAUAGUGAAGAUUUGUUGUAUCGAAUAAAGGGAGGAGUUCAACUGGAAGGAGUUGUCAACAAAAGUGAUGAAGAAGGAAUUAAAGCAGGCUUUAAGGAAGCCAUGAAUGAGCUGAUUUCUAAGGUAAAUUCAAAGGC